UGGUUUUGUUUGGUUUUUAUUGUUAUGGGGGGUACAGCUAGUGAAAGACUGAAAUCAGCCAUGUUCACCCAAUGUCUAGAGUGCCACUUGAGAAAUUUCACCUCAAAGCUUCCUUUUCAAAACAAUUCCAGUUCACCUUCAAUGUGCGUAAUACAGAACACUAACAAACCUGGGGGCCUCACCCACAUCAUGUGCCAAGGAGCACAGCGUCUUGAAUACUGCCACCCAUCCUUUAUGCCCACAAGAGCCUGGAAGCAACUGCUGCUCCUAUGCCCCCUUGUGUAGAGAAGAGGAAGGUCGCAGCUUAUCAAACAUCGAGAAAGGAUACAAGUGAAGAGCCCAAACACAAGACCUCACCAAAACUCAAAAUGCCAAAGCAGCAGCUGCUGAAGGCCCUUUCUCACUUGAGGGCUGCUCCUGCCAAAGCCUCACUGAACAAGGCUGGAGCUGCAGGUGAGGGAGCCUGGCUCCAGCAGGAGCCCAUGAGCCCUGCAGGGGGCCACAGGCCAGCUUCUUCCCAGAAAUGGGACCAGUUCCUGCUCCCUGCUUCUCUGGGGAUCAUGAAAAAAUAAACCAGGAUAUUCGAAAA